UACGUAGGGUGCAAGCGUUGUCCGGAAUUAUUGGGCGUAAAGAGCUCGUAGGCGGUCUGUCGCGUCGGAUGUGAAAACCCAGGGCUCAACCCUGGGCCUGCAUUCGAUACGGGCGGACUAGAGUUCGGUAGGGGAGACUGGAAUUCCUGGUGUAGCGGUGAAAUGCGCAGAUAUCAGGAGGAACACCGGUGGCGAAGGCGGGUCUCUGGGCCGAAACUGACGCUGAGGAGCGAAAGCGUGGGGAGCAAACAGG
rnacentral:rRNA from 1 species